CAUAGUUUCCAGUGGUCAGACGGCAAGCCUUAGCAGUGGGAAUUCUUACUUUAUGACAGCAUCAAUCUCCAUGUUACAGUUUUCUUCAGUUGCCAGUUGGACAACAGACCUUUUCAUUAUCUUGUUCUUUAGGGGCAUGCUUAUUUGCACUUUCUGGUUCUGAAUUGGAUCUAGACAUCAGAGUUUCCACUAAGUUUGUGGAAGAGUAGCAUGGCAAAGCUGAGAAAUUUCACUUUUACAACUCAGAGUAGGAAAUUAUAUGAAAGCAUAUAUUAUAUGAUAUAUAAUACGUAUGCGGGCUGCUUAGUUUUGUCUCCGAGAAGUACACUCACAAACCAUAACGGACUGCUCCUAAUUGCAAACAGAAAGUUUUUCUUUACAAAAAAGAUCCAGUAGCUCUAAAACAUAUUUGCAAACCCACAUUGACCCCAGUACCAGCACCAACACAAAACAAUAAUUUGGGGUUAUAAAACACUCCAUUCCCCAAACCCCUUACUCAUAAAGAAAGCACCACCUCACAAUGAGUACACUAUAUUAAAGGAGCUUGUUAAUGAUGUGCAGAUCAUAAUUAAAUAGCAGUGGUUAGUGCUUUACCUUCCCAUGGAGAUAGUUUAUAAGUCAUGGGAGAGCAUUUACAUCUGAUUAGCCUUUCCCUAGUUUGCACGGACUGACUGAAGCAUCUUUACAAUUACAGCUGGGUCCCAGCCCAUAACCACUAGUGUGUGUUUGUGCAGGGUUUGUUUGUGAGAAAUCCCAAUGAAGUCAAUGGAAAGACUCACGUAAACUAUGUGAAUAUCGUCCGCAGGAUUUAAGAUCUUAGCCAUAAGUAAUUAAGUGCUGCAUUUUCUAAAGAUGUAAAAUAAAUUUAAUUUGAUGGAUAUGCCUAUAAUGAUAUUGGUAUAUAGUACAUGAGAAAAAGCUAAAAAAGCUGGUGCUUAAAGCUGAUAUAUGUAUAAGAAUAGUGUAUCAUUCAAAAAUUAUUUUGGAUCAGAAGUUUCAGGUUUUUGUGAAAAAGACAAAUGUGUAUUUCAUUAAGCUCUUGAUGGGACUCAGUAUGUUAAUUUCUUCUCAAGUCCUCAGCUUCCUGACAGCAGCACAGCUAUAACACAUAAAGCAGCAUGCCCCCUUUUCAGACUGCAGUCAGGAUCACUGAGUGAUGGCCCAGAAAGAAAAUCCAGGCAUUUAGGAAGCAUUAAAUUAACCAGGGGGUUGCAAUCUUCCUUCUGAGCCAACUCCACCCCACUGUCGAGCGUAAUGGCACGGGUCGGUCUAACCCUGCAAGUACUGCGUUCAGAAGCAGGACUAGGUGGUCAUUAAGGGUGCCACAGCGACUUUUAUAGGAUUAAGAGCACCACCUAGGCCGGGUUCCCACAUAACUCUCAGCACGCUGCCCCUCGCCCCUUCCCCACAGCAGAGACCGAGCCCUGCUGCACCCCGUCCUGCGAGAAGCCGGAGAGGACACCUGCAAGAUAUCUCCUUAAUAAAUCCUUCCAGGCAAACAAACAAGCAAAACCAGCAAAAGCAAGCACAACAAAGAUGAACCGGGUUCGUCCCUUCCAACAAGAAGCUCUGAAAUCUCUAAGCCCUGCAAAUUCACGUUACAAGAAUGCACGCUGCAUGGGGUGCCAGCCAGGUCAAAGAGGGACGGGUUGUACCUCCCAGUGCUGCUCGGGAGGUGAACAGGCUUUGGAAAUCAGCUGAGCUGAUUUUGGUUGCUAGAGAAAGACACAAAGCAGGAGAGCAAGAGUCAUGAUGAGAAGAUGACAUGAGCAUGCAGAGGCUCAGCUUGGCAGCUUCAGCUCCAAUUUACACAGAAGAAAUCCCGGCACUAGCUAUUUGCAGACGCUGUGCAGCCUGCUGCUCUUGGCAGAUUGAACACGCACAAGGUAUCACAGCUGGAGAAGAUGGGCAGGGGUAUGAAGGCAGUGAGUCAGCAUGCUAAGGCAUCAAUUUGUUUUGUAAGAGAGAGUUUGGAAGACAGGGAGACCUUUGCUGGACAAGCAGCUUGAUGAAUGAGCCUGGCAUGGAGCAUGGCCUCUCUUGGGACUGUGCAGGUCACACCUUCCACCACGUGUGUAGUCAGGCUCACGGCGUACACCAAGGACUUCUUGCAUCUCUCUGUCCAAGCUCCUCAAACAGCUCUUGUGCUUCAUGUCUCUCUGUUUCAAGGGCUGACACUGCAACACCCCACUCCCAGAAUCAGAGACUUUUUGCAACCUUUAUUUUUCCCUCUGCCAUUAGCAAGAAUGUCUCUGUGGUCCCUGCUCCAUAUAAAAAGGCAUUUUAUUCUCUAUAUUUUCAUUUGACUUUAUUGAUCAACUAUUUCAUUUAUUUAAUAAGGUAUCCAAAGUUCUCUGUAUUUCCAUGUUGCAGAUUCUCACUGUCUCUUCACUACUUGUCUUUCCUUGAGCUACUGCCCUCCACUCCCACUGUGUUACUUCUCUUUUUGUGAGAGACAUUGCUCAGUCUGUCAACAUUUGGGAGGAUAGGCAGAGCAAAGCUGGGAGAUAUUACGUUAAAAAACCUGGAAAAAAGCUCCUAUUAAGUUAUGCUUUGAUCUGCAGCAAUUAUUAAGCUGCUUGAAGAUUGCCAACAAGAUAUCAGAGGCUUUCUAUGUCUCCUCUUCCCUUUCCUGGCUUCUCUCAGUAUCUGUUAGGAUAGUUCUCGGUCUGGAAGAAACUCCCAGUGAUGUAGUCUACUUUCUAGUUAUCACAUGCCAUGACAUAAUGUAAAUCAUUCCAGAAAGUAAGUUCCAUCUUAAAAGCAGAUGAAUAGGGAGUUAUUAAAAACAGUAGGGAACUAGUUUUGUGCCGGCUGUUAGAGGACUCUUCCAGACCUUCCUCUUUCUGAUAGUUGGACACUUCCUAUGGAUGUCUAGCCUAAAAGUAUUCAUGACCGUUUAAUACUUAUUUUCCAGUACCAAUGUUGUCUUUUAGCCUGAAUAGCUCCUUUUUCUUCUCCAAGGCUUUCCUAGCUGGCUUAUGUAGUGACAGCAAUCAUUUUCUCUCUCAGCCUUUCUUCUUGUUUCACUAAACAAGCAAGAUUUCACUGUGCAUGUGCUGAGCUGGUUCCUGUGAACGUGUGUGACAGAACUGAACAUGAUACGCCACAUGAGCUCUCACCAGAACAUUUCUAUUUACUGGAAAUACUUUGCCUGAUGUGGUCUAGGAUUUCAUUAUCAUUUUAAUUGGCUGCAUUGCCACUGCUGGCAGAUGGUCAUCCUUGUAUCCUUAAUAUAUGCAGCUGCACCUGUUUUCCGAUGGAUGAAUCCUAGCUAAUAUAUGAUCUUUCAUUUUAUACUAUGGCAUUUCAUCUCUCUAUUAGUUCUUUCUUUCUUAAGAUCAUUCAGUCCUUUCCAAAUGAGAUCCUCCUUUUCCGUUCCAUUUGCAAUGUCUAUUGACUCUCUUAUGUUUUAUUAGAAAACUUCCACUUUUGACUGCCAAUUUCAUGAGUGAAAAAGUUGAAUGUUAACAAAAUUUUUAAACUGAUCUUUUAGAAAUCACUAAUAACUUUUCUUUAUCUUCCCCCUCUGAACACUCCUGCAUCCCAUUUUCAU